rnacentral:tRNA from 1 species
CGGGGCGUGGCGCAGCCUGGUAGCGCAUCUGCUUUGGGAGCAGAGGGUCGGAGGUUCAAAUCCUCUCGCCCCGACCA